rnacentral:rRNA from 1 species
GACGAACGCUGGCGGCGUGCUUAACACAUGCAAGUCGAGCGAUGAAGCACCUUCGGGUGUGGAUUAGCGGCGAACGGGUGAGGAACACGUGAGGAAUCUGCCUUCCACUCUGGGGUAACUCCGGGAAACCGGGGCUAAUACCGGAUAUUUUCAACUGGCGGCAUCGCCGGUUGAAGAAAGUUUUUCGGUGGAAGAUGACCUCGCGGCCUAUCAGCUUGUUGGUGAGGUAAAGGCUCACCAAGGCGACGACGGGUAGCCGGCCUGAGAGGGUGACCGGCCACACUGGGACUGAGACACGGCCCAGACUCCUACGGAAGGCAGCAGUGGGGAAUAUUGGGCAAUGGAGGAAACUCUGACCCAGCGACGCCGCGUGAGGGAUGAAGGCCUUCGGGUUGUAAACCUCUUUCAGCAGGGAAUAAGCGAAAGUGAAGGUACCUGCAGAAGAAGCACCGGCUAACUAUGUGCCAGCAGCCGCAGUAA